AACGAACGCUGGCGGCAUGCCUAACACAUGCAAGUCGAACGAGACCUUCGGGUCUAGUGGCGCACGGGUGCGUAACGCGUGGGAACCUGCCCUUAGGUUCGGAAUAACUCCCCGAAAGGGGUGCUAAUACCGGAUAAUGUCUUCGGACCAAAGAUUUAUCGCCUUUGGAUGGGCCCGCGUUGGAUUAGCUAGUUGGUAGGGUAAAAGCCUACCAAGGCGACGAUCCAUAGCUGGUCUGAGAGGAUGAUCAGCCACACUGGGACUGAGACACGGCCCAGACUCCUACGGGAGGCAGCAGUGGGGAAUAUUGGACAAUGGCCGAAAGCCUGAUCCAGCAAUGCCGCGUGAGUGAUGAAGGCCUUAGGGUUGUAAAGCUCUUUUACCCGGGAUGAUAAUGACAGUACCGGGAGAAUAAGCUCCGGCUAACUCCGU
rnacentral:rRNA from 1 species